rnacentral:lncRNA from 1 species
GAUGAUCUUGAUUGUGUCAUGGUCAACCCAGAAUUAUGACAGUCUGGGAAGAUUAGGAGGAGAAUAAACUGCUACUUAAACCUUUUCUCAGCAGCAUUGGAAAGCAUGUGUUUCCAGCAAUAACUCCUGGGAACUAUUUGGACCCCGUGGUUUAAUGGAUGGGGCUUUAACCUACCCAGAGGUCAGUCUCUGCUGGACAAGUGGAACCUCAUCCCUGAGGGCAUUGACAUACUCAUGACACAUGGACCUCCUCUAGGUUUUCGAGACUGGGUUCCAAAGGAGCUUCAAAGAGUGGGCUGUGUGGAGCUGUUAAACACGGUUCAGAGGCGAGUCCGGCCCAAGCUCCAUGUGUUUGGUGGAAUCCAUGAAGGUUAUGGCAUCAUGACCGACGGUUACACAACGUACAUCAAUGCCUCGACGUGUACAGUCAGCUUUCAACCGACCAACCCUCCAAUUAUAUUUGACCUUCCAAACCCACAGGGUUCCUGAAGCUCUAAAUGCCCUAUUGGAAUGUGAGGGAAGGUCUAUAAACUGCCAUUUUUCUAAUUAUAAACUUACAUUCUCUUACUUAUUUACAAACCCUGUGAGUUCUUUUUGUAAAUUGUUGGAACACAAAUGAUGCUAGAGGUUGUGCUUCUUAUUUUAUUUUAUUUUAAAUGGGGCAUCCAUUUGAAAUCAGAGGAACAUUGUGAAUUUGUAAAAUGACUUCUGUUUUCUCAAAGGCCAUGCCAUUGUAAAUUGUUAGUGUUCGCCAAAGGACAGCCAAGCUUUCUUUUAAAAAGUGAUAAAAGUCUUAUUUUAAUAUGCUUUAAGCUGAAAGAAAAAAAAAUAAGAA